GGGGUGUGGCCUAGAGCUCUAAAGAGCCGGAGUGAGCUCUUCAGUUCAGUCUCAUUUGAGGGCAGCUGUGUGAAAGCAGCUCUUCAAUCCAGGGUUCAGAAAAGAGGAAGCGCUUUAACAGGAAACAUGCAAAUGACAAGCAAAAGUAAUCCUCCUCAUGAAGUUUUUGAAUUUACCCUUGGAAUUUCCUUAGAAACAAUGCUGCAGGUUCUCAUCUAUGCUGAAUUGCUGUAAUAUGCUGCUGGUAAUUAGAUAUUGAUUAAACCUGUCAAUGGAUA